UGAUCUAAAGCCCUGCAACAGAAAAAGCAAUCAUCGUGUUUAACAUCUCCCACAGUAGAGCCAUGUAGCAACAGAGAAAUAACACAGGAUCUCAAAAAUGACAACAACUUGAGUGUGGGGUUCAGCACUGAAGUGACUGAACAGCUCUGCUGGGGACAAAGACAACAACGUAGGCAUGCACCACAAGAGCUACAGCUCUGGCAAGGAACUUCAAUAUACAUUUGCUACACAUCUAUUUUUUUCCAAAUAUAAGGCUUUGCUGGCUGGCAGCCAAUCAUGCAGGAAUUGCCAACCGCUCUGUAGAUAGAGCAAUUAUAAUUCUCUGUGCAGUGCCACUAGACCACCUGCACGCUCAUGUGGGAUGCAAGUCAUAUUGAACCCAGCUCUCAGGAGAUGAAUGCUAUUUGGUAUCAAACUCUUCUUCGUUAUCUUUUAUCAUCAUUAGGGAACAGCAUUUAUAAUUCCACCUGACAGACAGCUCAGCAUAGAGAAAGCCAGCAGAGUUGAUGCUAUGUUCAUUUUUGGAGGAGAAUAAAAUGCAGCUAUACAAA